rnacentral:rRNA from 1 species
UACGAAGGGGGCUAGCGUUGCUCGGAAUCACUGGGCGUAAAGGGUGCGUAGGCGGGUUUUUAAGUCAGGGGUGAAAUCCUGGAGCUCAACUCCAGAACUGCCUUUGAUACUGAAGAUCUUGAGUCCGGGAGAGGUGAGUGGAACUGCGAGUGUAGAGGCGAAAUUCGUAGAUAUUCGCAAGAACACCAGUGGCGAAGGCGGCUCACUGGCCCGGUACUGACGCUGAGGAGCGAAAGCGUGGGGAGCGAACAGG